UCCUCUGCAGGUACUACGAUUUCAGCAUGAUCUAGUGUUAAAAAUGCAGGUUUAUUGAUAAAUAAUUAGUUAAAAUGUAAACCCUCGUAAAAAAUGUAAAUUCAACAAACACAGAUUGUAACACCACAUAUUAUCUAUUACCUUCCGUUAUAUAUGUUUUGAUCGAAAGUAAAAUAUUUGUUUAUUAUUAUUUCGUAAUAAAUGGUGAAUAAACAUGGAUUAUAUAUAUAAAACAGAACUAUGGGUAAUUCGUAAAAUUAUAGGUUAGGUUAGGAGUGAAUAACAUUCGCUACAAGACAAUAGCGUUCUCGGCACUAGUUCGCGCCCUCGAUUUGUAAAAAUCGAUAUGAGGUCACGCUAUCAUACCAACGAAUCAAAAUUGGAUAUCGAAAAGUUCUAAAUAACGAAGUUCCUGUCAGAACUCACCGAACAUUGUGCUCACAUGGACCAGCUCGGUAGAAAAUUGAGAGAGCGAUCGGAAAUUUAACCGCGUUUAACCACAGUUAAAUGACUUAUCAUCAUAGCUCCUGUAAGCAUAUUUAACGUAUCCUGUGUCGAAUAUUUGAAAAAUAUUUAAUAAUGUUCAGGUGAGCCUAUUCUAAAGAUAAAACGAAAGAAACGAAGAAGAACUAAGAAGGACUUACCUGACCGUUAUUGACCGAAAGUUAUAAUGUAGAAACCCUAAGCAUCAUGGAUAUUAAUCAUAUCAUUGGAUUCUACUUUAGAAAGUGAAAUUAGAACUCUUUCUCGGGUACAAAUCAAUAAACCAUAACACAGAAAAACCUGAAAUGUAAGAGAAAGAUGUGACCAGAGCCAAAGAAAAGUUCCUAUAGCUAAGAAAAAUAAUCCUAAUGACAUAAAAUCGUUAAAAAAAAUCUGAGAAUGAUUGUUACUUCAAAAAAAUAGAGAAAUAGUAGAAAGAAAUAUUAAUGUGAAAUAAUCAAGCAGAAUCUCGGUUCAAUAAUGAAAAUGUCUUACAAGGAAAUGUGUAAUUCUGGAAACAAAAAUUUGUGAAUCUAAUGUAUUAUAUGUAAUAAUAUAUAAACAGGCUUUAUAACUAUUAUCAUAUCAAA